rnacentral:rRNA from 1 species
GAUGAACGCUGGCGGCGUGCCUAAUACAUGCAAGUCGAGCGAAUGGAUUAAGAGCUUGCUCUUAUGAAGUUAGCGGCGGACGGGUGAGUAACACGUGGGUAACCUGCCCAUAAGACUGGGAUAACUCCGGGAAACCGGGGCUAAUACCGGAUAACAUUUUGGACCGCAUGGUUCGAAAUUGAAAGGCGGCUUCGGCUGUCACUUAUGGAUGGACCCGCGUCGCAUUAGCUAGUUGGGGAGGUUACGGCUCACCAAGGCAACGAUGCGUAGCCGACCUGAGAGGGUGAUCGGCCACACUGGGACUGAGACACGGCCCAGACUCCUACGGGAGGCAGCAGUAGGGAAUCUUCCGCAAUGGACGAAAGUCUGACGGAGCAACGCCGCGUGAGUGAUGAAGGCUUUCGGGUCGUAAAACUCUGUUGUUAGGGAAGAACAAGUGCUAGUUGAAUAAGCUGGCACCUUGACGGUACCUAACCAGAAAGCCACGGCUAACUACGUGCCAGCCGCCGCAGUAA